GAUGAAGAACGUAGCGAAAUGCGAUAAGUAAUGCGAAUUGCAGAAUUCCGUGAGUCAUCGAAUCUUUGAACGCACAUUGCGCCCUCUGGUAUUCCGGAGGGCAUGCCUGUCUGAGCGUCAUUGCCAACCCUCAAGCUCAGCUUGCUGUUGGGUCCCCGUCGUUGCUUUAACGGCGGACCCGAAAGGUAAUGGCAGAGUCCGUGAGACCCUAGACGCAGCGAGCUUCUAGCACGCGUCUGGACGUUUUUCGGGCUCGGUCUUAACUAGAUGAUAACUUCCGAUUGACCUCAGAUCAGGUAGGGAUACCCGCUGAACUUAAGCAUAUCAAUAAGCGGAGG
rnacentral:misc_RNA from 1 species